rnacentral:rRNA from 1 species
UACGGGGGGGGCAAGCGUUGUUCGGAAUUACUGGGCGUAAAGGGCUCGUAGGCGGCCAACUAAGUCGGACGUGAAAUCCCUCGGCUUAACCGGGGAACUGCAUCCGAUACUGGAAGGCUCGAGUUUGGGAGAGGGAUGCGGAAUUCCAGGUGUAGCGGUGAAAUGCGUAGAUAUCUGGAGGAACACCGGUGGCGAAGGCGGCAUCCUGGACCAACACUGACGCUGAGGAGCGAAAGCCAGGGGAGCAAACGGG